CAGUAGCCGCGGUAAUACGUAGGGUGCGAGCGUUAAUCGGAAUUACUGGGCGUAAAGCGUGCGCAGGCGGUUCGUUAAGACAGAUGUGAAAUCCCCGGGCUUAACCUGGGAACUGCAUUUGUGACUGGCGAGCUAGAGUAUGGCAGAGGGGGGCAGAAUUCCACGUGUAGCAGUGAAAUGCGUAGAGAUGUGGAGGAAUACCGAUGGCGAAGGCAAUCCCCUGGGCCUGCACUGACGCUCAUGCACGAAAGUGUGGGGAGCGAACAGGAUUAGAUACCCCCGUAGUCCCUGUCUCUUAUAC
rnacentral:rRNA from 1 species